GCAGCAACGCCGCGUGGAGGAUGACACAUUUCGGUGCGUAAACUCCUUUUAUAUGGGAAGAUAAUGACGGUACCAUAUGAAUAAGCACCGGCUAACUCCGUGCCAGCAGCCGCGGUAAUACGGAGGGUGCAAGCGUUACUCGGAAUCACUGGGCGUAAAGAGCGUGUAGGCGGAUAUAUAAGUCAGAAGUGAAAUCCAAUAGCUUAACUAUUGAACUGCUUUUGAAACUGUAUAUCUAGAAUGUGGGAGAGGUAGAUGGAAUUUCUGGUGUAGGGGUAAAAUCCGUAGAGAUCAGAAGGAAUACCGAUUGCGAAGGCGAUCUACUGGAACAUUAUUGACGCUGAGACGCGAAAGCGUGGGGAGCAAACAGGAUUAGAUACCCUGGUAGUCCACGCCCUAAACGAUGUACACUAGUUGUUGUGAGGCUCGACCUUGCAGUAAUGCAGUUAACACAUUAAGUGUGCCGCCUGGGGAGUACGGUCGCAAGAUUAAAACUCAAAGGAAUAGACGGGGACCCGCACAAGCGGUGGAGCAUGUGGUUUAAUUCGACGAUACACGAAGAACCUUACCUGGACUUGACAUAGUAAGAACUUUCUAGAGAUAGAUUGGUGUCUGCUUGCAGAAACUUAUAUACAGGUGCUGCACGGCUGUCGUCAGCUCGUGUCGUGAGAUGUUGGGUUAAGUCCCGCAACGAGCGCAACCCUCGUCAUUAGUUGCUAACAGUUCGGCUGAGAACUCUAAUGAGACUGCCUACGCAAGUAGGAGGAAGGUGAGGACGACGUCAAGUCAUCAUGGCCCUUACGUCCAGGGCUACACACGUGCUACAAUGGGGUAUACAAAGAGCAGCAAUACGGUGACGUGGAGCAAAUCUCAAAAAUAUCUCCCAGUUCGGAUUGUAGUCUGCAACUCGACUACAUGAAGUUGGAAUCGCUAGUAAUCGUAGAUCAGCUAUGCUACGGUGAAUACGUUCCCGGGUCUUGUACUCACCGCCCGUCACACCAUGGGAGUUGAACUCAUUCGAAGCGGGGAUGCUAAAAUAGCUACCUUCCACAGUGGAUUCAGCGACUGGGGUGAAGUCGUAACAAGGUAACCGUAGGAGAACCUGCGGUUG
rnacentral:rRNA from 1 species